UGACGGCCUAAUCGAAGCAGACUAACAACGACUUGCUACGUGUUAUCUGUCAAUAUUUUGGCCAAAAGCAAUUUUCCGUCGACGGUCAUUGAAAACCUUUGUGGUUCUUUAAUAACAUAAUUGACGGAGCACAGAU